rnacentral:lncRNA from 1 species
UGAACAUAUCCAAGAUGGACCAGGUACCAACGAUGGAAGCACCGAAGCUGCAAUAACUUUACUUACAAUGGGAGAUCUAGUAUUAAAGUCAGAAAUCAGUACUGAACAGGGUGAUGUAGGAGUAUGUAUACUUCCUCAUGUUCAUUCAAAGAAUAAAAGCCAAUAUUCCUUUUAGCCUAGAUAAUAUAAAACACAAAAUUGUUCAUGAAUGUCAGGAGCUCUCUUCACCUGUCAUUAUGACAUCUCCCUCAUCAUUUGAAGAAAACAAGAUUGUAUUGGAGGAACAAAGUUCCAGAGAAGAAAUUAGUUUAAUGGAGAAAGUAAAGGAGAAUGCUACACUAACCAGGAAUACAACUUCUAAAGUGACCAGUAAUUUGAGAAUAAGAAGUAGAUUUGCCAAGCCUAAACCAAAUCUUGAGAAGAUUUUAGGGACCAACAGGUUUGAUGAUUAACAGGAAGUUUCCAGUUUCUGUGUAACCAAAGGGGAAGAACUGGAAACUCAAAGGGAAACAGAGACAAAUGCUUCCAAAGCAACAGAAUUGGAAGAUAAAAACCUCUGACCAGUUACAACAGCAGAGAAUAAAGAACAGAGCAAAUUGGCACGCAUACAUGGUAUCAAAGGGACCAGUAUUUCUCAAGAAGUAAACCUAACUGAGAGAAAUAAGAAUCAAGAAGAGAGCUCUCAAGAGGCUCACAUGUUGUCAGUUGCUCCAAUUUCUUCCUCUGAGACAGGGCCCCGCACACUUGGUUUGGAGAGGGGUCUGGUGAAAAUCUUGUUGCAGUGCCCCAGAUGAAGGCCUCUAAAGGAGACAACGUGCUUACACUUCCUGUGCCAGGGUAAACACCAAGAAGUAUUCCAGAAGUCCAACAAGAAAAUAUAAUCAGUCCUCAAGACCUAACAGUGACUCUAGUUGCUACUGUACCUCGAGAUGGAGAAGAUGAAAAAGCAUUUAUUUUAACUCUGGUGGAAAUCCCAACCAAUCUCCUUUACUUUCUCCAUUAAACUAAUGGAGAGUAGAAGAAAUAACCGAAGCCACUGCACAGUUAAUGCCAAACCCUUUACUGCCAGCUUCCAUAUUGGUCAAAUCAAUGAAUACUGAAGAAAGGGGUGGCAUGAGUGUUUACCAGCAACUUCAGUUGGUCAAGAUGACAUGGGUUUAUCCAUUUCUGUAAGAGAUAGCUCUUCUAAAAAGCUUUCUGAUAAUUUGGAUCUUGUAUCUAGGAAGAGAUUUCUUUGCAGGCUUGGUGAAAAUGACCACGUUCCUCCUGCCAAAAACUGUUCACUCACUUUAAGAGAUGAUUGUCAAGCAUAGACCUCUGAGGUGCGCUCAAAGGAAUUAACAAAUGUUUUUGAGGAAACAGGGGAGUCUCACAAGGGACAAGAUAUUUUUCCUACCUCAGGAAGCACAUUGACAACUCCAGAACCUCAAAAAGUGCAAGUCGAACCAACUUUUCAGAGUACAGGAUCUAGAUCUCCCGAUACAUGCAUGGACAAGAAUGUGCCUCGGUUACCUCAGAAUGAAAUGAUUGUGUCUGAUAAGGAAGAAAGAACUGUUGCUGCUCCUAAGUCUGAGCAAAUGGACAGCAGAACACCAUCUUCAAAAGCCCACUAUCCAGACCUGGCAGAAGAUCCCUGGGAUUUUUAUCUUUCAUAUGUUCAAAGAAUAGUUUGGAGUCUGACAGACCUACUCAGGUCCAUAGUAAGAAUCGCCUAAAGCCUCUUAUCCCUGCAUUAAGACAGAAUCUGAAAAGAUUCAAUCCAUCCAAUGAAAGCCAGAAAAGAAGCAAGAGUCCUCUGAUCCGCUUGCAUCUCCAAGUGUUAUUAAUACUCAAUCUGAGAAUAUUAGCAACUCAGCAACCAAUUUUUUUGUGAUCAGCCCUUGCUGAAAGGACAUAAAAGUGGCCAAAAGCGGGCCCCUAAAUGGAAGCCAACCACAGUCUCUGAAUAUUUCUUCAAUGAUGUCUUCAUUAAAGUGGAUGAAACAGAAUA